rnacentral:rRNA from 1 species
UUGAACGCUGGCGGCAUGCUUUACACAUGCAAGUCGCACGGCAGCGCGGGCUUCGGCCUGGCGGCGAGUGGCGAACGGGUGAGUAAUGCAUCAGAACGUGCCCAGUAGUGGGGGAUAGCCCGGCGAAAGCCGGAUUAAUACCGCAUACGACCUGAGGGUGAAAGCGGGGGACCGAAAGGCCUCGCGCUAUUGGAGCGGCCGAUGUCGGAUUAGCUAGUUGGUGGGGUAAAGGCUUACCAAGGCGACGAUCCGUAGCUGGUCUGAGAGGACGACCAGCCACACUGGGACUGAGACACGGCCCAGACUCCUACGGGAGGCAGCAGUGGGGAAUUUUGGACAAUGGGGGCAACCCUGAUCCAGCCAUGCCGCGUGCGGGAAGAAGGCCUUCGGGUUGUAAACCGCUUUUGUUCGGGAAGAAAUCCUCUGGGCUAAUACCCCGGGGGGAUGACGGUACCGGAAGAAUAAGCACCGGCUAACUACGUG